rnacentral:rRNA from 1 species
UGAACGCUAGCGGCGUGGUUCAGACAUGCAAGUCGAGCGAGAACUCCUGACGGGUAACCUGAGGGAGGGACAGCGGCGAACGGGUGCGUAACACGUGAGCAACCUGCCCUUGAGUGGGGAAUAGCCCGCCGAAAGGUGGAGUAAUACCGCAUAUGGCAUCAUCCCGCAUGGGAUGGAGGCUAAAGCUAGGGAUCCUUCGGGACCUGGCGCUUAGGGAGGGGCUCGCGGCCUAUCAGCUUGUUGGUGAGGUAACGGCCCACCAAGGCUAAGACGGGUAGCUGGUCUGAGAGGAUGAUCAGCCACACUGGAACUUAGACACGGUCCAGACACCUACGGGUGGCAGCAGUUUCGAAUCAUUCACAAUGGGCGAAAGCCUGAUGGUGCGACGCCGCGUGGGGGAUGAAGGUCUUCGGAUUGUAAACCCCUGUCACCAGGGACUAAACUCUGUGCGUUAAUAGCGUACAGACUGAAUUAACCUGGAGAGGAAGCAGUGGCUAACUCCGUGCCAGCAGCCGCGGUAAUACGGAGACUGCGAGCGUUACUCGGAUUUACUGGGCGUAAAGGGUGCGUAGGCGGCCGGGUAUGUCGGGUGUGAAAUCUCGGGGCUCAACCCCGAAACUGCGCCCGAAACUGCCCGGCUAGAGUCUCGGAGAGGGUAGCGGAAUUCCCGGUGUAGCGGUGAAAUGCAUAGAUAUCGGGAGGAACACCAACGGCGAAGGCAGCUACCUGGACGAGUACUGACGCUGAGGCACGAAAGCGUGGGGAGCGAAAGGGAUUAGAUACCCCUGUAGUCCACGCCCUAAACGUUGCACACUAAGUCUUGGAGGAUUCGACCCCCUCAGGGCUCAAGCUAACGCAUUAAGUGUGCCGCCUGAGGACUACGGCCGCAAGGCUAAAACUCAAAGGAAUUGACGG